UACGGGAGGCAGCAGUGAGGAAUAUUGGACAAUGGGCGCAAGCCUGAUCCAGCCAUGCCGCGUGCAGGAUGACGGUCCUAUGGAUUGUAAACUGCUUUUGUACGAGAAGAAACACUGCUUCGUGAAGCAGCUUGACGGUAUCGUAAGAAUAAGGAUCGGCUAACUCCGUGCCAGCAGCCGCGGUAAUACGGAGGAUCCAAGCGUUAUCCGGAAUCAUUGGGUUUAAAGGGUCCGUAGGCGGUCUUGUAAGUCAGUGGUGAAAGCCCAUCGCUCAACGAUGGAACGGCCAUUGAUACUGCAGGACUUGAAUUACUAGGAAGUAACUAGAAUAUGUAGUGUAGCGGUGAAAUGCUUAGAGAUUACAUGGAAUACCAAUUGCGAAGGCAGGUUACUACUAGUGGAUUGACGCUGAUGGACGAAAGCGUGGGUAGCGAACAGGAUUAGAUACCCUGGUAGUCCACGCCGUAAACGAUGGAUACUAGCUGUUGGAAGCAAUUUCAGUGGCUAAGCGAAAGUGAUAAGUAUCCCACCUGGGGAGUACGUUCGCAAGAAUGAAACUCAAAGGAAUUGACGG
rnacentral:rRNA from 1 species